CCCUGGCUGCUGCGCAAUCGCAACGCCUGAACCCCGCCAGGCCCGGAAGGGAGCAACGGUAGGGUCCCCUGCGAUGUGCGCAGCAGCCUUUUUUU
rnacentral:SRP_RNA from 1 species